AUUGAACGCUGGCGGCAGGCUUAACACAUGCAAGUCGAGCGGAGUGAUGGUGCUUGCACUAUCACUUAGCGGCGGACGGGUGAGUAAUGCUUAGGAAUCUGCCUAUUAGUGGGGGACAACAUCUCGAAAGGGAUGCUAAUACCGCAUACGUCCUACGGGAGAAAGCAGGGGAUCACUUGUGACCUUGCGCUAAUAGAUGUGCACAAGUCGGAUUAGCUAGUUGGUGGGGUAAAGGCCUACCAAGGCGACGAUCUGGAGCGGGUCUGAGAGGAUGAUCCGCCACACUGGGACUGAGACACGGCCCAGACUCCUACGGGAGGCAGCAGUGGGGAAUAUUGGACAAUGGGGGGAACCCUGAUCCAGCCAUGCCGCGUGUGUGAAGAAGGCCUUAUGGUUGUAAAGCACUUUAAGCGAGGAGGAGGCUCUUUUGGUUAAUACCCAAGAUGAGUGGACGUUACUCGCAGAAUAAGCACCGGCUAACUCUGUGCCAGCAGCCGCAGUAACAC
rnacentral:rRNA from 1 species